rnacentral:rRNA from 1 species
UACGUAGGGGGCAAGCGUUGUCCGGAAUUAUUGGGCGUAAAGAGCUCGUAGGCGGUUUGUUGCGUCGGCUGUGAAAUCCCGAGGCUCAACCUCGGGUCUGCAGUCGAUACGAGCAAACUAGAGUGUUGCAGGGGAGACUGGAAUUCCUGGUGUAGCGGUGGAAUGCGCAGAUAUCAGGAGGAACACCGGUGGGCGAAGGCGGGGUCUCUGGGCAGUAACUGACGUGGAGGAGCGAAAGCGUUGGGGAGCGAACAGG